AGCAAAGCUUGCUCGCGAUAGCGGUUUUAAAGCCAACAGAGGUGUUGUCUGUGACGACGCUAUCGCGAGCAAGCUUUGCU
rnacentral:misc_RNA from 1 species